rnacentral:rRNA from 1 species
UGGGGAAUCUUGCGCAAUGGGCGAAAGCCUGACGCAGCGACGCCGCGUGAGGGAUGAAGGCCCUCGGGUUGUAAACCUCUUUCGGUGGGGACGAAGCGAACGUGACGGUACCCGCAGAAGAAGCCCCGGCUAACUACGUGCCAGCAGCCGCGGUAAGACGUAGGGGGCGAGCGUUGUCCGGAUUCAUUGGGCGUAAAGAGCGCGUAGGCGGUUCGGAAAGUCGGAUGUGAAAACUCGGAGCUCAACUCCGGGCCUGCAUCCGAUACUCUCGGACUAGAGGUAGGUAGGGGAGAUCGGAAUUCCUGGUGUAGCGGUGAAAUGCGCAGAUAUCAGGAGGAACACCGGUGGCGAAGGCGGAUCUCUGGGCCUUACCUGACGCUCAGGCGCGAAAGCUAGGGGAGCGAACAG